rnacentral:rRNA from 1 species
GGAUUAGAUACCCUGGUAGUCCACGCCGUAAACGAUGAGCACUAGUUGUUGUGGGUAUUGACCCCCGCAGUGACGACGCUAACGCAUUAAGUGCUCCGCCUGGGGACUACGGCCGCAAGGCUAAAACUCAAAGGAAUUGACGGGGGCCCGCACAAGCGGUGGAGUAUGUGGUUUAAUUCGACGCAACGCGCAGAACCUUACCCGGUCUUGACAUCGAGGGAAAGCGCAUAGAAAUACGCGCCCCCACCUUCGGGUGGCCCAAAGACAGGUGCUGCAUGGCUGUCGUCAGCUCGUGCCG